rnacentral:rRNA from 1 species
UGAGGAAUAUUUGUCAAUGGACGGAAGUCUGAACCAGCCAAGUAGCGUGCAGGAUGACGGCCCUAUGGGUUGUAAACUGCUUUUGUAUGGGGAUAAAGUUAGGGACGUGUCCCUAUUUGCAGGUACCAUACGAAUAAGGACCGGCUAAUUCCGUGCCAGCAGCCGCGGUAAUACGGAAGGUCCAGGCGUUAUCCGGAUUUAUUGGGUUUAAAGGGAGCGUAGGCUGGAGAUUAAGUGUGUUGUGAAAUGUAGACGCUCAACGUCUGAAUUGCAGCGCAUACUGGUUUCCUUGAGUACGCACAACGUUGGCGGAAUUCGUCGUGUAGCGGUGAAAUGCUUAGAUAUCAUGAAGAACUCCGAUUGCGAAGGCAGCUUACGGGAGUGUUACUGACGCUUAAGCUCGAAGGUGCGGGUAUCGAACAGG